rnacentral:rRNA from 1 species
CACCGCGGUUAAACGAGAGGCCCAAGUUGAUAGAUAUCGGCGUAAAGCGUGGUUAAAAGACAAACAUACUAAGAUCAAAUGCUUUUAGUGCUGUUAUACGUAUUCAAAAGUUAGAAGCCCAACUACGAAGGUAAUCUUAACCAAACCCUGAACCCACGAAAGCUAUGACA